rnacentral:rRNA from 1 species
AGCGAACGCUGGCGGCAGGCUUAACACAUGCAAGUCGAGCGGGCCCUUCGGGGUCAGCGGCGGUCGGGUGAGUAACGCGUGGGAACGUGCCUUCUGGUCUGGAAUAACCCUGGGAAACUAGGGCUAAUACCGGAUACGCCCUUUUGGGGAAAGGUUUACUGCCGGAAGAUCGGCCCGCGUCUGAUUAGCUAGUUGGUGGGGUAACGGCCUACCAAGGCGACGAUCAGUAGCUGGUCUGAGAGGAUGAUCAGCCACACUGGGACUGAGACACGGCCCAGACUCCUACGGGAGGCAGCAGUGGGGAAUAUUGGACAAUGGGCGCAAGCCUGAUCCAGCCAUGCCGCGUGAGUGAUGAAGGCCUUAGGGUUGUAAAGCUCUUUUAUCCGGGACGAUAAUGACGGUACCGGAGGAAUAAGCCCCGGCUAACUUCGUG